rnacentral:tRNA from 1 species
GAUAUUGCGCCGGAACGAACGGAUAGUCCUGAUGCGACUAAACAUGGAAUAACCCCCCAAUAUCU